AUUGAAAGCUGGAGGCAGGCUUAACACAUGCAAGUCGAACGAGUGGCGGACGGGUGAGUAAUGCUUGGGAAUAUGGCUUAUGGAGGGGGAUAACUACGGGAAACUGUAGCUAAUACCGCGUACCAUAGGAUGAGCCCAAGGGGGAGUAGGUAGUUGGUGAGGAAAAGGCUCACCAAGCCGAAGAUCUCUAGGUGGUCUGAGAGGAUGACCAGCCACACUGGGACUGAGACACGGCCCAGACUCCUACGGUAGGCAGCAGUGGGGAAUAUUGCGCAAUGGGGGCAACCUGACGCAGCCAUGCCGCGUGAAUGAAGAAGGCCUUCGGGUUGUAAAGUUCUUUCGGUAGCGAGGCGUUAACUACAGAAGAAGCACCGGCUAACUCCGUGCCAGCCGCCGCGGUAAUUC
rnacentral:rRNA from 1 species